rnacentral:rRNA from 1 species
UGCCAGCAGCCGCGGUAAUACGGAGGGUGCAAGCGUUAAUCGGAAUUACUGGGCGUAAAGCGCGCGUAGGUGGAUUAUUAAGUCAAAUAUGAAAGCCCAGGGCUUAACCUUGGAACUGCAUUUGAUACUAAUAAUCUUGAAUACAGUAGAGGGAGGUGGAAUUUCAGGUGUAGCGGUGAAAUGCGUAGAUAUCUGAAGGAACAUCAGUGGCGAAGGCGACCUUCUGGACUGAUACUGACACUGAGGUGCGAAAGCGUGGGGAGCGAACAGGAUUAGAUA